AACGAACACUGGCGGCAUGCCUAACACAUGCAAGUCGAACGAGAUCUUCGGGUCUAGUGGCGCACGGGUGCGUAACGCGUGGGAAUCUGCCCUUUGGUUCGGAAUAACAGUUGGAAACGACUGCUAAUACCGGAUGAUGACGAAAGUCCAAAGAUUUAUCGCCAGAGGAUGAGCCCGCGUAGGAUUAGCUAGUUGGUGUGGUAAAGGCGCACCAAGGCGACGAUCCUUAGCUGGUCUGAGAGGAUGAUCAGCCACACUGGGACUGAGACACGGCCCAGACUCCUACGGGAGGCAGCAGUGGGGAAUAUUGAACAAUGAGCGAAAGCCUGAUCCAGCAAUGCCGCGUGAGUGAUGAAGGCCUUAGGGUUGUAAAGCUCUUUUACCCGGGAUGAUAAUGACAGUACCGGGAGAAUAAGCUCCGGCUAACUCCGUGCCAGCCGCCGCCGCAG
rnacentral:rRNA from 1 species